rnacentral:snoRNA from 1 species
AAACAAAUGAUGACGAAGGCGAUGACGAGGAAGAAGUCGAUGAAGAGGAGAUGGUUGAUAUGGAUAGUGAAGAU